rnacentral:rRNA from 1 species
UAGGGAAUAUUGCUCAAUGGGCGCAAGCCUGAAGCAGCAACGCCGCGUGGAGGAUGAAGGUUUUAGGAUUGUAAACUCCUUUUGUGAGAGAAGAUAAUGACGGUAUCUCACGAAUAAGCACCGGCUACUCCGUGCCAGCAGCCGCGGUAAUACGGAGGGUGCAAGCGUUACUCGGAAUCACUGGGCGUAAAGAGUGCGUAGGCGGGGUUGUAAGUCAGGUGUGAAAUCCUAUGGCUUAACCAUAGAACUGCAUUUGAAACUGCCACCCUAGAGUGUGGGAGAGGUAGGUGGAAUUCUUGGUGUAGGGGUAAAAUCCGUAGAGAUCAAGAGGAAUACUCAUUGCGAAGGCGACCUGCUGGAACAAUACUGACGCUGAUUGCACGAAAGCGUGGGGAGCAAACAG